AUAUUAUAUGAUUUUUCAAUAAAACCAUUUUAAUAGUUUUCUCAUACUCGAAUUUUUUUUUUUCGUAAUCCAAACUCAAAGUAUGGGUAUAUAAUAGUCGUGAAUUACUUAAUGAUUUGAGUAAGUUAUUCUCUGAUAUUUAUAUUUAUAUUCUCUUAAAUUGAUAUUUAAAUAAUAAAUCACUGAGGGUGAAAGAUACGUAAGGAGUUUCAUCGUCAAAUUCUUAGGUUUCUAUAAUCCAACACUACCUUCUGUUAAAUUGGUUUAAGACAAACGUUGUUUAUGAAUUAUGUGUAUGAUGCAUUGUUGAGAAUGUUGUUAGAAAAAAAUAUUUUUAAUACUAAAAAUAAUUGCUUAUUUCAUUAUUGAAUGAUUAAAUAAAUAAAAAUUAUAUUUAAAUUAAACAAUAUAAAAAAUCCAAAAAAACCGCGACGUAGCGCGGGUGAUCACCUAGUAUUUAUAAAAAUAUUGUAUCACGGAAUCUGACAUAUUCUCACAAUCUUUCUCAUUCUUAAGGAUAUAUUAUUGUAGAGUUUUGUUAAC
rnacentral:sRNA from 1 species